rnacentral:rRNA from 1 species
CUAGUUUUGGGCGCUUCGACUGCUUACCGCAAAGGAAUGGACGGAGACAUCCGUAUUGAACAGCAAGAGGUGAAAUUCUGGGAUUUGUUCAAGACGAGCAAAGGCGAAGGCAUUUGUCCAUGACUUUUCCCUUGAUAAAGAGCGAAGGUUGGGGGAUUCAAGAUGAUCAGAUACCGUCGUAGUCCCAACGGUAAACUAUGCCAGCACUGUGUCUCGGUACUUCCGAUUAUUGGGAACUAUCGGGGCUUGUGGAGAAAUCGUUAGCGAUCGGGUUCUGGGGGAAGUAUGGUCGCAAGAUCGAAACUUAAAGGAAUUGACGGAAGGGCACCACCAGGAGUGGAGCUUGCGGCUUAAUUUGACUCAACGCGGGGAAACUUACCAGCGCCAGAGGACGUUGUGAUUGACAAGCGGGAGGCUUUUCUUGAUUCGUUGGGUGGUGGUGCAUGGCCGUUCCGAGUUGGUGGAUUGAUUUGUCAGGUUGAUUCCGACAACGAACGAGAUCCAAGCUUUCUAGUUCGGAGUACCCUCUUUUGUUGGGUAUUUUCAUGGUUAGAAGGACGGUGUUGGCUUACAACAAUGAAGGGUUGGGCGAUAACAGGUCUGUGAUGCCCUUCGAUACGCUGGGCUGCACGCGUGCUACAUUGCCAUUUGCAAAGGGGUUGGGGUCUCGUAGCCGAGAUCUUUUCCCGAAUAAGCUUUAUCAGUGUGCUCAGUUAGGUCAGAUCCUUGCAAUUUUGGAUCUUCAAUGAGGAAUUCCUCGUAGGCGUCAGCGGAUCAUCUGACGUCGAUUACGUCCCUGCCCUUUGUACACACCGCCCGUCGCUCCUACCGAUUGGGUUGUCCGGCAAAUGCGAAUGACGGACUGGCUACGAACUUGCGUUUACAGUUUGGUUCGAAUUUUGUGUAAGCCAUACUUCCUAGAGGAAGGAGAAGUCGUAACAAGGUUUCCGUAGGUGAACCUGCAGAAGGAUCA